UACGGGGGGGGCAAGCGUUGUUCGGAAUUACUGGGCGUAAAGGGUUUGUAGGUGGCUUGUUAAGUCAGACGUGAAAUCCCUCAGCUUAGCUGGGGAACUGCGUCUGAUACUGGCGAGCUUGAGUGCAGGAGAGGAACGCGGAAUUCCAGGUGUAGCGGUGAAAUGCGUAGAUAUCUGGAGGAACACCGGUGGCGAAGGCGGCGUUCUGGACUGCAACUGACACUGAGAAACGAAAGCCAGGGUAGCAAACGGG
rnacentral:rRNA from 1 species